UCUUGCUGCAGCUGUCGGCCACACUGGAUCCUUAACCCACUGAACAAGGCCUGGGAUCAAACUUGCUCUUCAUGGAUACUAGUUCAAUUCUUAAACCACUAAGCCAAACGGGAACUCCUCCGGGGCACUUUUGAGUGGGCGCGGGCUGCCUCAGACUGGCACCUUGUAAGGCCUCCAACAGUUCUUCGGGUAACACAAAGCCAGACACCUGGAAACCCAACCCUUGCACAGGAGGCUUCUGGAACCCUUUUAUUUGGCGUCGCCCAUAGCAUGCAGAAAUUCUGGGGCCAGGAAUCAAACCCGUGCCACAGUAGUGAUAAUCCUUAAUCUGCUGUGCCACAGGGGAACUCCUAAAAGCCUUUUUAGGUAUGCAAAGAGAUCCCUUUUUUGUUUUGCUUUUUAGGGCCACACCUGCGGCACAGGGAGGUUCCCAGGCUGGGGGAUGAGUCAGCCCUGAUAUUCCUGGCUCACCCAGCAGGACAGAGACAAGUGAACUCACCCCACCCCGCUUGUAUGUUGCAAAUUUAGUAUAGAAAGUUCUCACAUACUCUCUGCCCAGUUCCUCCUAUUUUUUUUUUUUUUUAACUUGUCUUUUUAGGGCUGUACCUGCAGCAUAAGGAGGUUCCCAGGGUAGGGGUCCAAUCGGAGCUGCAGCUACCACCCUACGCCACAGCCAUUCCAGAUGCAAACCGCCUCUGUGACCUACGCCACAGCUCAGGGCAAUGCUGGAUCCUUUUCUUUUUUUUAGGGCCACACCCGCGGCAUAUGGAGGUUCCCAGGCUAGGGGUCUAACUGGAGUUGUUGCUGCUGGCCUACGCCAGAGCCACAGCAACACCAGAUCAGAGCCGCGUCUGCAACCUAUAUACCACAGCUCAUGGCAAUGCCAGAUCCUUAACUCCCUGAGCCAGGGAUGGAACCGCAACCUCAUGGUUCCUAGUCAGAUUGGUUUCUGCUGCCGUUGGGCCACGAUGGGAACUCCCUACCUCACUUAUUUAUUCUUUUUAUCGCUAUUAUAUUAUUCUGUUGUCAUAACCCCCAAAUGAUAUUAUUAAUUUUGCUGCUCAUGUUAUUCCAGCUUUGGCCAGUAGGAGCUCUGUCAGGUUGCUCCUGAGUUUUUUCUACAUGCCCCCAUCCUUUCUGGAGCACUUCCUUACUUUCUAGCAAUGCAGGACGCUCCAGGCUCAUCUUUUAUUUUCCUGCCCUAGUCCUGGAACGGCCACAGGCAGGAAGAAAGGAAAGAAAGUGUGCUGACGGGCACUCCCGCCCUCUCUCUCCCAUCCCCGGACCCACAAGGGUUCUCUCCCAGCUCCCUAUUCUUCCCUUCAGGAAGGAUGUGGCUAGAGCAGGCGGGAUGGGCUCUUUGCGGGCGACGCCCCGCUGGGUCCUUGUUAGGACUCCCCAGGUGUGUUUGCGGUGCAAGGACUUUACUCAGAGGAACAUGACCGCGUCUCAAGAGUUACCAGAAAAGGAUGCAUUAACUGCCAACUGCGGCAGCUGCAACCUGCAGCACAACUCUUCCUCCCUCCCCUUUCCUGGGCUCCGGGGAAAGGACGGUGGGAAGGGAACCUCAGCUGGAGGAAUGGGAGUCUAAUUCCCACCGGGUCAAAGGCUUUCCGACUUAGACACAAGCUUACGACGUGGAAAAGUAACUUUAUCCAGGACGUCCCGAUCCGUAUUUCUCUCUAUUGCUGCUCCAAUUAUGAUGUCUUAUCUUGCAAGUAACACAAUGUGCAGCCCAAACUGGCUCAGGCAAACAGGUUUUAGUGACUCAACCGAAAAGACGGGGUUGGACCGCAGGUACAAUUUGAUGGGGGUUCUGGCUCCACGUCUCACCAAAGUAACAGCAGCAACAGUGUCGUGCCCUGACUGGACGACUCGUCCCUCAGGACCGGAAACACCGGCCGACAGCUCCGGGGCCGGGAGCAAGCGACACUCCAAGUGAGCGGGUUCCCGUGGGGAGUGGGGAUCCGGUCGGGCCGCGGCCACGUGACACAGACUCGACCAAUCGGGGAAGACGCACGCUGGCGCAACGCAGAGCCGCGGGCCUUUCUGCGCAUGUUCGGCCCGAGGCCGCGCCAGCGCCCCGAUUGGCCGAGUCCAGGUCACGUGGCGGCGCCUCCCCGCAAGGGCGUCUGGGAGGACGACCCCGGCUGGGCCUUUGGCCUACGUGAGUCACGGCUCCCCCGGGACGUUCGUAGUGGACACUUCACGCCUUCCCGGCCGCCGGCAGGCCGGUCACGGUCACCGACGAGGCGGACGCGGGGCCGGAGGAGAUGCGGCGCGGCCAGUGGCCGAGGCAGUGCCUGGGCGUCUGACAUCAGCUGUUCAGAGAACACUGGAAAUGGAGGAAAGUCAGGAAGAAAGACUUACCUUCAGGGUGUUUUUUUUGUUUGUUUGUUUUGCUUUCUAGCGCUGCACCUGCGUGUAUGGGAAUUCCUGGGCUAGGGGUCGAAUCAAGCUGCAGCUGCCCGCCUACACCACCGACACAGCCAUGCGGAUCCUUAACCCACUGAGCAAGGCCAGGGAUCGAACCCGCGACCUCGUGGUUCCUGCUCGGAUUCGUUAACCACUGCACCACGACGGGAACUCCGUGAAGUUUUUGCUUUAACAUCCUGAACGUCCUUCCCUGGAACAGGAAGGACUGUUUUACAGAAGAAACCGGUGUGCUGACGAAGGAGCCAAGCACAUCUCCCGGAGUGCGCUGCAUCGCUGAUGCACCAUUAGCCUCAGCUGAGCUGUGUCUGUGACUCGGCAACACACGCACAAGAAAGUAAAAUGCACGGUUCCAACAGGCAGAGACUGGACUUGCACCCAGGCCCUCUGUUGCACAGUCCCCUCCCCAGAGGUCGCACUCUUCCUGGCUUUUUAGAACCUUCUAGAAAUGUUUUAUGUACAUAAACGCAAGGACAUAGCUCCCGCUCUCCUUUUGC